UACGAACCGUGCAAACGUUAUUCGGAAUCACUGGGCUUAAAGCGCGUGUAGGCGGGCCGGCACGUCGGUCGUUGAAAUCCCCCGGCUCAACCGGGGAAGCGGCGCCGAUACGACCGGCCUCGAGGGACGUAGGGGGGGCUGGAACUUCCGGUGGAGCGGUGAAAUGCGUUGAGAUCGGAAGGAACGCCCGUGGCGAAAGCGAGCCCCUGGAAGUCUACUGACGCUGAGACGCGAAAGCCAGGGGAGCGAACGGG
rnacentral:rRNA from 1 species